GACGAACGCUGGCGGCGUGCUUAACACAUGCAAGUCGAACGGAAAGGCCCUGCUUUUGUGCGUUGCUCGAUUGGCGAACAGGUGAGUAACACGUGAGUAACCUGCCCUUGACUUUGGGAGAACUUCAGGAAACUGGGGCUAAUACCGGAUAGGAUCUCCUGCUGCAUGGUGGGGGUUGGAAAGUUUCGGCUGUUGGGGAUGGACUCGCUGGUUACGCGCUUGUUUGUGUGGUAGUGGCUUUCGAAGGGUUCGACGGGUAGCCGGCCUGAGAGGGUUGACGGCCACAUUGGGACUGAGAUACGGACCAGAAGCCUAUGGGACGCAGCAGGCGGGAAUAUUGCAGAGUGGGGGGAAGCGUGAUGCAGCAACGCCGCGUGCGGGAUGAUGGGCUUCGAGUUGUAAACAACUUUCGACGGUGCCGAGGAGUGCGUGACGGUAAUGGGUAAAGAAGCACCGGCUAACUACGUG
rnacentral:rRNA from 1 species